GGAAGCUUAAACUUUUUCUACCACCUUUUCGGUGAGAUUGAUUUCUUUGUUGUUCUAACCCAAUCCCUUACAGCUGGCAUUCAAAUGUACUGCGGUCUGGUUGUUUAUUCAUUAACCAAAAAGAUAUGGAAUAAACGAAAUGACUUUGCCUCGGAAGUGGAAGUUCUAUACUCCCAUGGUUCAGAGGCUUCAAUAUUCAGCAUUUCCUCGCCUUAAAUGUUUAAAAAUCGUAUAUUUUAGACUAUUUGUAAACAAGCAAUAGCAAUAAAAUAAUUAUUUAAUCUUAGAUUAAAAACGAGUAA